CUGUGCUUGUCAGCCCGAGCUUCUUGAGACUUGCAUGGCAAAGGCAGGAAGAAUUCACUAUAUCCUGAAGAACAUUGUUGCUGUUUAGGGACAAUGGGGAUCAAACUAAGGACCCACAUCUGCUGGCUAAGUUUUCUACUAUCCCAGGCCUCAGAACCCAAGGAACAGAACCAACAUCUGUCUGUAUCCUAAAGUCCUGCAAACACAUGACAGAGAGACUCUGUAGAUGUCACUAAGUAUCUUGUAAUGGACAAGUGAUCCCUAAUUCUCAAGGUGGCCUGUUAGAAUAGUCACCAGAGUUUUUAGAACUGAGGAAGAGCAAGAGGAAGGGGGAGCAGUAGAGAGAGCCACAUGACAUGAGAAGGUCCCGACUCAACUUUGCGGCUUUGAAAAUGAGGGAAGGGUCUCAGGAGCAAGGGAUGAAACCAUAACAGGCCAGGAGAGCAACUCUCCCCCAAAGACUCCGGGAAGAACUGAAGCCCUCUGGAUUCCAAGAACUUAGCCCUUUGAGACCCACCCCAAGCUCCAGCAGUAAGAUAAUAAAUGCGUUUUAAGUGGCUAAGUCCACAGUCAUUUGUGAUGGAAACAGUAAGAGAUGCCCACUUGGGCUCCUGUUUAUUUCUCAUAUCUGAGAAUUCUAUUUGGAAUCAGUAACUGACUCUAGGACACACAAAUGAUGGGAAAAUUCUCCAAAAUUCAAAGCAACAAACACAGAGAAGAAAAUGGCUGUGGAGAAAUGAAGGUGCAGCCUCGAAGAGUAAGUGAAACUGACCGCUUAGCACUUCUGUCUUUGCUCUCCAAGUGCCCCUCAGUUCUGCUUUCAAGCAAUAAAAAAAUGAAGUAGGAGGUUCUAGGCUGCAAAACAUAACCUUGUCUAAAAGAAAAAAAGUAUUCUACUUCAUGUUUUUAUUAUUAACUUUUGGCUUUCUUUAGAAGUUAAAGAGUAUGAUAAUAUUCUCUCACAUUUAGUAACUUAGCUAAAGGUAAUAUAAAAAUUAUGGAUUUUAGUACCUCCAUUUUUUGGUCAAUCUAUUGAUAUCUCACAACAAACUAGACAACAAGAUCAAUAUCUUUAGUGUUGUUCAAAACCCUCUUUUAAAUCUGUGGGGAAAUUUCCUGUUUAUUUCUAUUUCUUUCAUCAAAGAAGGCAAGAGUGGGGAAGAACCCCUAGGUCAGCAGAUUUCAACUUGUGGGUAGAAACCCCUUUCGGGUGCGGGGGAGGUUUACAUAUAAGAUAUCCUGCAUAGCAGAUAUUUACAUUAAGAUUCAUAACAGUAGUGAAAUUACAAAUAUGAAGUAGCAACAAAAUAAUUUUAUGGUUGUGGGGUCACCACUACAUAAGGAACUGUAUUAAAGCAUUAGGAAGGUUGAGAACCACUGCACUGUGUUGAAGACUUGCACAUCAGGAAGAUGGAGAGCCAUUGUUCUGGAUCAUAAACUCAUGGUCCUGAGUUAGAGCAGGUGUUCUCUGCUGAGUAAUACAAGAAAGUGAACUGUGAGACCUGGCUAGAUCUAAAACCC
rnacentral:lncRNA from 1 species